GGCUAGGUACUUUAAACAUAAAAGAAUUGAUUUGCAUUCAAAAAAUGAGCGCUUGUUGCUCCCAUGCCA
rnacentral:tRNA from 1 species